UAACCAAUUGGGUGCUGCCUCAACAGGUACAUUGAGCAAAACACAGCUGCAGUGCAGCUCAGUACAUUGCUUUCAGCAUGUCAUCCAUAUUCUUGUCAUGUCAUAUUCUUCUGCCAAACAGUGACUGGAGCUGGGGAUAGCAGUGAAAGGGUUAUUUUCAUGUAAGAAAAUAAUCAUAAGGGUAGCAUCUGGAUUUCUGAAAGAAAGAACCUUUUAAAUCAUAUUUUCAUUUCAGAAAAUAAUCCAGCUGGACUAGAAGUCUAGAAACAUUAGACUCCAUAUCUUGUGGUAGUGUUGUGAGGCACAAGGUCAAAGAACAAUUUCCUUCAGCUCUCAAGAACUGAAUGAGGUCAGUUUCAGCCCACACAUAGUAUGCCUUUCGUGAGUUUCCCCACACUCCAGAGAGUAAAGAGGGAUGAAUUCUUUGAACAAGUUGGAAAGUACAUUUUAGGUGCUGUGAUUGCUGCAUGCAUUUUUUGGGGCUUGGUGUAUGCUUUACUCAUGUGGUUCUAUAGAUGGUAAGUGCUACAAGUGUUACACAUCCCGCUAUCAGUUUUAGCUGUGGAAAUAUAUGAAAAAAGAGCUUUUAAAGUAAGUAAUCAAAGAAACCAGAAUGUUAUUGUGCCAGGGAGAAUAGAAUAUUCAGAGUCUUCUCUAGGAACUAUUUUAUGGGGGUGAAAGAAUAUCCAUUGUGUAAUCACAAUAACGUCCUUCCAACAGGGUGCUAAUGCCAGUUCAUUCACAGCUGUUGGGUGAUUAGGAGCAAUGAGGCUUGCUAUGUACCAGAGGGGCCUGCAUUAGGCAGCAUCUGCACCAUACAGUCACUGUCCAUCAUACCAUGUCUGACAUAUCUAUGCUUAGGCAUAUAACUCCUCUACUAGACAGGAGUGCUGCGUUGAUUACUGCUGUGUUCCAAAAUCGUUAUACAAAUGGCUUUAGUCAUAGAAAAGCCAUCUUGGAAUGACAAAGUAAUGGAUUUUAUCCUUCCUGUAUCCCUUGGCUGAUGAUUUUGUAGCUACAUUGAGAACUAUGUUCUCUAAUAGGCUGAGCCCCUGGCAAUGUCAUUAAAAAAAUUAUCUACAUUUUUGUUUUUUUAUAGCUAAGACAUUUCCAUGGGAAACAAUAGAAUCUAGAACCUACAGUCGACUAUAGGGGUGACGGCCACCAUCUGGGCUGACACACAGGUGACUGAGCCAGGGAUGUGCAGAGCUAAAAGGAGAACUGCUACAGGCUGAGCUAACACUUUCUAGCUCAGAGCCAGCGCUAGCAGAUCCAUGUCCCCUGUGGAUCAGGCACAGAUGGCUGAGGAGCACAAACCAAUAGGCUACACCAUUGUGACUUUACUAGUAGGGCAAUUAUUGAGCCCAGUUCCCAAGCUGAACUGCCCUUGGCUCAGGACCUGAGUGGGGGUAGACAGGAGGGACUGUACAGUACAUUUGCACUUCUUCUAUUCUGGGCCUGGCCAAGGAACUGUGUGCCCCCGGCACAACUCUGAGCAGCUGCUGGGCUACUCGAAUGUGCA
rnacentral:lncRNA from 1 species